GGACGAAAAGUGUAAUUAACUCUAAUUAUAAUGGUCCAUCUUCCUGUAGAUACACACACACAUAUAUGUAUUUUUUCUGCCCCCGGCUUUCUACAUGGAAGAUCUUCUGUAAACCAUACAAAUUAAGUUACUUAAUUUAUAGUUAUUCGUAAAUAAAACUGUGUUGCAAUAAAUAAUAAUCGACGGGGAGUCUACUUUCAGAUUCGAUGAUGAUGAUGGAGCAGAAUAAGCACGAGGAGGUUUGCAGUGAUGAUAAUAUAUCGCGUCCUUUAUCUGCAGUAUAUCCAUGGCUUGGUGUUCAGAAUGAUCUAACUCACAAGUCUUUCUCCAACUUAGACAACCUGUUGUUUAAAUACGAGUGUCGAAUCCCCGAGUUGUCAGGGAAACGUAUCGGAGGGUGUUUCCAUGCGUGGAUAAUUCUAUCUAACCAUCCACACAAUAAUAUUUGGUCUCUGUGGAACCCCUUGUCCACUUCUAACACAAUUCGAUGAUGAUGAUGAUGAAGCAGAAUAAGCACGAGGAAGUUUGUAGUGAUGAUAAUAAAUCGCCUCCUUUAUCUGCCACAUAUCCAUGGCUUGGUGUUCAGAACCUUGAAGAUCUAAUUCACGAGUCUUUCUCCAACUUAGACAACCUGUUGCUUAAAUACCAGUGUCAGAUCCCCGAGUUGUCAGGGAAACGUAUCCGGGGGUGUUUCCAUGGGUGGUUGAUUCUCUCCAACCAUCCACACAACAAUAUUUGGUCUCUGUGGAACCCCUUGUCCACUUCUAAAAUCAUAUCUCUUCCUCCUUUGUUUUUGAAAGACGGAGAUUAUGAUUCUAUUCGCGAAUGUUGUUUGUCUGCCCCUUGUGAUAAUCCAAAUUCAGUUAUCCUGUUAGCAAGAACCAAUAAGCCUACCUUUGUAUUUUGUCAACUAUCUCCUAAAAAAGUAAAAAGCCUAAGAAAAAAGCCUAGAUGGACCGAAAUGUCAUAUGCUUAUCAACUUAACAGAAUAACCUGGGAUGGACGUUCACUACAUAGCCUGACUUUUUGCAACGGUCAUAUAUAUGCUUUAUCUGACGACAAUAGUAUUGAUCCGUUUGUCAUACGGGUUGAAAUUGUAGUCAAGGAUAGAGAAGUUGUAGUACAACUAUUACCGUUUGGGAUUCUCCCUAAUCUUCCUUCGUAUCGUUUUUCCAAAUGCCUUCAUUUUCUGGCACAAUCCCGUACAGAGUUGUUUUACAUAGCAGUUGGUUUUCGUAGGGAAGCUGACAAAACACCCGGUGAUGUGUUUUUGUAUAAAUGUAACAUGAUUAAUGUAAACGGGAAGGUUUUCGAAAUCCUCACAUACUGGGACUUGAGUGGUGUGAAAGACUUGAGUGACAAAUUAUAUUCAAUUUGGAGAUUGGAAGAUACUAACCCAAGUGUGGGAAGAAGCGAAAGACCUUAAUGAAGGGAUAUUUUUUGUUGGUCUUGCUCAUGGCCACUCUGAGUAUUACAACUCUGCAAUUGGCUCGAAACUAGGGGUUAUAUACAUUUCCAUGAUAAAGUGGACAGACUAAUGUAUUCUUAUCACUUCAACAAUAAAACCAUCUUACAAUCUCCCAUGCCCUUUUCAGAGCUGCCAACAAGCCACAUGUCAAUGUCGGAAUGCCGGUUAGAAGAUGACCAUAGCGAAGCCAUAUUCACGGUUGAUUCUAAACAACAAGAUGAUGAGAUGAUGAUUAGCUUUAUUACAAACAGUGAGGUUGAAGUUAGUGAGUCUCGCUUGCUAGAUGUUCCAUUUGAAAUUCUGGAGAUGCUUAUGAAGUUUUGUGUUGGCGUGGAAUACAUGAAAUUUCGUGCUACAUGCAAAGGUUGUCAUCUAGCAGCUCCUCUCAUACAAUGGCGUGACCAAACAGAAUUAGAUAGAUUACAGAAUUGUUCACUAGCUUCACUAGCUUCACCUUGGCUGAUGGUUGUAGACCAAAUUCUAGGUGUUAUUACUUUCACAGAUCCGCUGUUGGGUGGCAGCUACUUUACGAGAAUUUCACAAUUAUCGAUCACUGAUGAAACAGUAUAUUGCUCCAGGUUUGGUUGGUUGUUGUUUAGAACCGAUGUUUAUUGUCUAGUGUUUUUUAACCCCUUCACAAAGGAUCUCCGCGAACUUCCACGCGCGCGUAACAGGCACAAGCAGUUAUGGUUCUCAGCUCCGCCUACUUCCCCUGAUUGUAUGGUGGUUGGAUUUAUUAAUGGAGUGGUUGAGAUCCAUUAUGUAUCCGGAGAACCUAUUUGGGAUACCUAUGAGGUAAAUCUAUUUUGUGAAUCGUCCCCUAUCUGUUUUCCAACAUAUCAUGACGGCGAUCUUUAUUACUUGUAUGAGAUGGAACUAAGGGUUUUCAAAUAUUUGGGUGAAAAUAAUCUCUCUUCUGUAAGUUUUAAUAGUUGAGGCCCCAAGAAGUUGCGAAUCUUUGGCACAAUAUUUUUUGGUGAAAUGUGACCAGCAUCUUUUACUUGUUGCGUUGGGCGGGUUUGACGAACCCAUCCAGGUAUUCAAGUUGAAUGAUUCUAGAAGAGAAUGGGAUAAAGUAAAUGGUGUAGGAAAGCACAUGAUUUAUAUCUGUGAUACAACAUGUAUCUGCAUUGAAGCUAAAUUACCAGAAAUGGAGAACAAGAUCUACUUAGCCCAAUUGAGUUCUAGAAACAAGAAGAUAGUGUUUUACUCACUUGAAACAAGCACGUUUCACACGUUUGAUGGUAAAAACAUCCAAGAGAAUUUAGGGGAUGUUUUUGUGACUACGCAUCUUUCCGCUCAUACUUGGAUUGAACCAAGAUGGUUGAAGAGCCCAUGAGUCUAGACCAGCGGAGUAAGUUAUCUGUGAAAGUUCGUAUAGCUAGCUGACUUUAUUCUUCAUAUUAUUUUAUUUUCGUAACACUAAGGGCAAUGUUGACAUGUUGCUUUUUGAGGAAAAAAACUUUGAGUUUUGUUAUUUUUAUCUAUUUUAUAAUCCCGACAAAAGAAAGAUUUAGAGGAGCAUAGUUCUACAUGUUCCUGGCUAAUCCGUACCCUAAUUGCAUAAGUGAUGUUAAAGGUUUUGGGUGGAUGAUAUGACUGUGUGGAAUGGCAACAAAUAUCACAACAGCAACAAAUGAGAUGCAUGUAGCUUCAUGAUUAUCAACCUUUGUUUGAACUUUGAUUUCUAAAAAUGCAAGUUUUGGAAUCAAGGAUCAUUAAAAUAUCAGACACAUGCACUUCAGGCACGGCGGCACUGAAGAAGUUUGUUGACUCACUGCAACUUAUAACAUCUUCCGACUUGGUCCAUGUAAAAUCCAGAAUACCAGAUCAAAUCAUUGAAGUUGAGAAUGUAUAUAAUGUAUUUUACAAGCUUAUUUUCUUCCUGGCGUAUAACUAAUUAAAGCUUCUAAUAAUGCAGAGUUACAUGAAGUAGUUUGUGCUGGUAUA